rnacentral:rRNA from 1 species
AGCCUUUCGAAAGAAAGAUUAAUACCGGAUGGCAUAAUUAUUCCGCAUGGGAUAAUUAUUAAAGAAUUUCGGUUGUCGAUGGGGAUGCGUUCCAUUAGGCAGUUGGCGGGGUAACGGCCCACCAAACCUACGAUGGAUAGGGGUUCUGAGAGGAAGGUCCCCCACAUUGGAACUGAGACACGGUCCAAACUCCUACGGGAGGCAGCAGUGAGGAAUAUUGGUCAAUGGACGAGAGUCUGAACCAGCCAAGUAGCGUGAAGGAUGACUGCCCUAUGGGUUGUAAACUUCUUUUAUACGGGAAUAAAGUGAGCCACGUGUGGCUUUUUGUAUGUACCGUAUGAAUAAGGAUCGGCUAACUCCGUGCCAGCAGCCGCGGUAAUACGGAGGAUCCGAGCGUUAUCCGGAUUUAUUGGGUUUAAAGGGAGCGUAGGCGGACGCUUAAGUCAGUUGUGAAAGUUUGCGGCUCAACCGUAAAAUUGCAGUUGAUACUGGGUGUCUUGAGUACAGUAGAGGCAGGCGGAAUUCGUGGUGUAGCGGUGAA